AAGAAUCUUAAGCUGGCUCCACAUUCAGCUCACAGCUCUCCGUGGAGCUCAAUCCCACAGCCCUGGAAUCAAGACCUGAGCCGAAAUCAAACGUCAGAGUGAACCAAAUUGCAUAAAUCUUUCGCCUUUUACCAAAAUGCACACAUGGCCAUGAGAGCACUUUCAUGCAGCUCUGGGGAGAAGAUUCCAGUGCCUUCUGUACUUAAACUUCUGUGCCGUCCAUCCACUGGAAUAAAGGUCUGAGGAAGAGCUACACUGGUUGAUUAUUGCAGGAAUGAAAGGCACUCUGACCUUGUCGACCAAACGCCUCGCAGCUUUCAAUGCUGCCCAUUAUACUGAAGGCAGGCAACUCCUGGAGAGAGGCGGAAUCUACUGCGAGCUGCUCCCUGGGCAACUUGCCAGGAAAGGCUUCAUCGGCUGCAGUUCAGACAUGGCCAGACAGCUCAGGCAGACAGCUAGGGGGCUGGGGGUGGAAACCGAGUAUAUAAAAAUAUUGUUAGCACACAGUCUAAA